ensembl:lncRNA
CACCCAGUUUAUGCUUCCUCUGUCUCUACGCCAUCUGGAUUUGGAGAGUGUCUGUAUCAUAAACCCCUCUAUCUUGGCUAUUAGGAAAUACAACCAGAUAAGUGCACGGGGUUCCUGCCAAGGCAGGACAGGUUGGGAGGUUGACUGAGGAAGCUUCUCAGGGGACCCAGGGGUCAGGGAGGUGGCGCCAUGCCCAUGUCCCUCAUGGGCUGGUCCUGGGGAAGUGUCAGAUCUCUGUGGGCACCAUGGUGAAGCUUUUCAAGCUCUGUCUUUCCGAUUCCUCAUCCGUCAAAUGGUGAUCCUCAAAUGUGUCCUGUGUGCACCAGGGUUUGCUGUGCUCUCUGUGUGAGGGAUGCUCAGGAGUAAAUCCAUGCCAGACACCUUUUUCCGUCCAAGCUCUGGAGUCAUUGACUGUGUCGCUUAAGCAGAGAAAUGAGGUGGACUUGGGUUUUCUGUUGUCUGGGUACCAGGAUCCUAGGGGUUGAGUCUAAAUCUGUACCUUGUGUACUGAUGGCCACAAAAGCACAAGCACAGUCCCAAACAUAAGGACGUCUUGGGUUUCCACCUAUGCAAAGGGGGACAGCUGUGCAUGGUAAAGUUUGGGAAGGCUCUGAUCUUUGGGUCCCUUGGCAGUGAAGCAUCUUCUGAGGUUCACAAGUCAGCUUUUACCCGUCUUUGUGUUUAUUGCUAACUUACAACUUCUGGCGAGAUUGAUUGCAUCUUUCUUCCCUUUUUGCCUUCGUUCUGGCAUGUCGUGUCUAACUUCCUGAUUUAAUACAUGCCCUUUAUUUUUUUAUGUUUCAUACUUCUGGUAUGAGAAUCCCCAUUUCUCUCCAUCACUUGGGCUGCAUCUCAAAGAGCCUGUGGUUCAGUCCUAACUUUCAUGGUUCAUCUUCACUCCAUGGGCUACUGAAUGCAUAUUUUGAAAUUACCAAGUAUGUACCAUUAAAAAGAAUUAUCUCGGGAGUUCCUUUUGGGGCUCUGCCAUAACGAAUCUGACUUGUGUCCAUGAGGAUGCGGGUUUGAUCCCUGGCCUCGCUCAGUGGGUUAAGGAUCCAGCAUUGCCGUGAGCUGUGGUGUAGGUCAAAGACAUGGCUCAUAUCCCACGUUUCUGUAGCUGUGAUGCAGGCUGGCAGUUGUAGCUCCGUUUCCGCCCCUCGCCUGGGAACUUCCAUAUGCUGCAGAUGUGGCCCUAAAUAGCAAAAAAUAAUAAUAGUAAUAAUCACUUUAUCAUCAUGGGUCCAGUGAUGCGUUAAAAAGUCCAUCUGUUCUAAUUCAUUGAGAACCUUGUCCUAUCCUUCAGAGCCCCGAUGGAACUUCUGGUCUACCUUGCUGCCAGAUGUGCAGAUACGGUGAAAUGCUGUCAUUCAAGACGUCCUGGGUAAAAAAAAAAAAAGAUAGCACGGGAACUUAGAGAAACACACCUUUGGGGGAAGAAUAUUCACUUUAUUUUUUUCUGGCUUUAUGGAAGUCUCACUGACUGGUAGAAGUUGCAUCUCUUUAAGGUGGAUGAUGUGAUGGUUUGAUUUGCAGAUACAGUGUGAAAUGUCUCUUGCCAACUGUGUCAUUUGAGGCAAGUGGUUAACCCUCCAGGAUCCCGAGUAUCCUUUUCUGUUCAAGGGGUCUUUUUAUGGUUAUAAGACUUGGAGGAACGGAUGCAUCUAGAAGGGUUUUAAGGCUGAAGAAAUCUUUGCUAUGCCUCAUGUUACCAUUGGGUGUGGCCCGGCUCACGUGGACCUAGUGAUCUGGCUUUUCUUUCCCGACAUCCUCGAUUUAUGAAAUGGUGAUGUUUCUCUACGGGGUUCAGGAAAAGGUGGAGCUAGGCACCCUGGGUGGACCUCACACUGGCGCUGGUGCACAGGUUAGAUUUGUUAUGAGGCACAGGACAAGGUGCCCAGGGCGAAGGUUUCCCCAAAGUCCUGCACAUGUCUUUGCAAUGUCUGGCCAGCUGUCCACAUACGGGGAAAUUCUGUUGAUAAGUGACCCCAGCCUAGCACUCAACUUUAUUUACACGUUGUUGCAAGAGAUUGCAUUUCCAGGCAGGUGACCAUGGCAUUUGUAGACAAUUAUCCCUGGCUUGAUUGCUUGCCACGUGCGGAAAGCAUAUGGCGGAUGGCAGCUCGUGGCAUUUGAGUUACCAGCUCACCAGGCCUGGGGCUGCCUCUGAUUGCAGAAGGCCCCUUCUUGGGGAUCCAGCAUGUGGGGGGAGUGCUUUACUGCUUCACCCCCUCCAGGGGUGGUUGGUGAUCCCAGCAUUGUCACAUUCAAAGGGGUGCGGCUUUUUGGUCGUUUGCAUUAUGGGGACAUUACAUGGCUCUUAGGACAUUUGUCUGCAGGUGGUAGUAGUAUCUCUGACUUCCUUUUAUUAUAAAUGUGUUGGGGAAUUCCUAUCAUGGUGCAGUGGAAAUGAAUCCGACUAGGAACCAUGAGGUUGCGGGUUCCACCCCCAGCCUUGCUCAGUGGGUUAAGGAUCUGGCAUUGCUGUGGCUGUGGUGUAGUCUGGCAUCUGUAGCUCCAAUUAGACCCCUAGGCUGGGAACCUCUAGAUGCUGUGGGUGUGGCCCUAAAAAAAAAUGUGUUGGGAGUUCCUGUUGUGGCUCAGUGGUAAUGAACCCAACUAGUAUCCAUGAGGAUGUAGGUUUGAUCCCUGGCCUUGCUCAGUGGGUUGAAGAUUCAGCAUUGUUGUGAACUGGGGUAUAGAUCACAAAUUCGGCUUGGAUCCCACAUUGCUGUGGCUGUGGUGUAGACAGCAGCCACAGCUCCUAUUCCACCCCUAGCCUUGGAACUUCCAUAUGCCACAGAUGUGGCCCUAAAAAGACCAAAAAAAAAAAA